UCCACCUACAUCCAGUCAUAGAUUGAUUGGGAUGGAUUUUUAUGAUUGGCCGGCCACAAGAGAACUUCAGGACAAAGGGAUCUUCAUGGAACUUCAGGAAUAAUGUCUAUAUAACCAGUUCUACUCUCAAUAAACGUAUAAAGGCACUAUGAGUAUUUUUACCCACUGUAUAGUAAUGUUCAAUGUAUUUGUUGAUUUUUUUCAAAAGUGCAUUUAUUUGUAUUUUUCUGAGGUAAAACCAUUAUUUAUGAACCGAUCAUUCUGAAUUUUACAAAAGUUAUUCAGGGGAGCCUGUUUGACUUUGUAAUGGAGUUGUCUUGGGUAAUAAUACCUUCAGUUUUGCAUAAAUUGAUGUAAAGUGC